rnacentral:lncRNA from 1 species
CUUCAUCCCCAGAGGGAAUGUUUAAGAAUAUCACAGAGACCUUAAAGCCCUCUGCACGAGGCUUCAGACUCAAUGGAGUCUUCAUGGAAAAAAAAAACCCUGAUACCCAGGGACAAGUCAUAAGAAGGCCUGUUUACUUUAGGUCAAAUAUUGAAAGACUUCUGAUACGCAGACAUUAAGGUGAGUGGAGUCAACAUCCCCUCACUACCCAGGGUAAAGAAAGCUCGAAAUAAUUCCUCUUGUU